rnacentral:ncRNA from 1 species
GAGAUAGAGGCGCGGGGUCCAUCAGUACCGCUCCGGCAAGGCCAGGCAGCCGCCGGAUGGGAAAGGGAACGCCGCCGAAGCUGCGGAAGGGUGCCUGCCCGCCUGCGGCUGGGCCGGGAGAGAAGAUCUGCCGGACUGUCACAAAGACUUUGUGAAGCGCUAUCA